rnacentral:ncRNA from 1 species
CAAUCUGCGCCUGGCGCGCACCGAUGGCCGGGUGUUCAGGGCGCUGCUGGGCAUCAGCUGGAUGUGGUUUUUUGGGGCUGUGUUUCUGGCGGAAUUUCCGGUGCUGACCAAGGAGGUGCUG